rnacentral:rRNA from 1 species
GGUCGUAGACCCGAAACCAGGUGAUCUACCCUUGGUCAGGUUGAAGUUCAGGUAACACUGAAUGGAGGACCGAACCGACUUACGUUGAAAAGUGAGCGGAUGAACUGAGGGUAGCGGAGAAAUUCCAAUCGAACCUGGAGAUAGCUGGUUCUCUCCGAAAUAGCUUUAGGGCUAGCCUCAAGUGAUGAUUAUUGGAGGUAGAGCACUGUUUGGACGAGGGGCCCCUCUCGGGUUACCGAAUUCAGACAAACUCCGAAUGCCAAUUAAUUUAACUUGGGAGUCAGAACAUGGGUGAUAAGGUCCGUGUUCGAAAGGGAAACAGCCCAGACCACCAGCUAAGGUCCCAAAAUAUAUGUUAAGUGGAAAAGGAUGUGGCGUUGCCCAGACAACUAGGAUGUUGGCUUAGAAGCAGCCAUCAUUUAAAGAGUGCGUAAUAGCUCACUAGUCGAGUGACACUGCGCCGAAAAUGUACCGGGGCUAAACAUAUUACCGAAGCUGUGGAUUGUCCUUUGGACAAUGGUAGGAGAGCGUUCUAAGGGCGUUGAAGCAUGAUCGUAAGGACAUGUGGAGCGCUUAGAAGUGAGAAUGCCGGUGUGAGUAGCGAAAGACGGGUGAGAAUCCCGUCCACCGAUUGACUAAGGUUUCCAGAGGAAGGCUCGUCCGCUCUGGGUUAGUCGGGUCCUAAGCUGAGGCCGACAGGCGUAGGCGAUGGAUAACAGGUUGAUAUUCCUGUACCACCUAUAAUCGUUUUAAUCGAUGGGGGGACGCAGUAGGAUAGGCGAAGCGUGCGAUUGGAUUGCACGUCUAAGCAGUAAGGCUGAGUAUUAGGCAAAUCCGGUACUCGUUAAGGCUGAGCUGUGAUGGGGAGAAGACAUUGUGUCUUCGAGUCGUUGAUUUCACACUGCCGAGAAAAGCCUCUAGAUAGAAAAUAGGUGCCCGUACCGCAAACCGACACAGGUAGUCAAGAUGAGAAUUCUAAGGUGAGCGAGCGAACUCUCGUUAAGGAACUCGGCAAAAUGACCCCGUAACUUCGGGAGAAGGGGUGCUCUUUAGGGUUAACGCCCAGAAGAGCCGCAGUGAAUAGGCCCAAGCGACUGUUUAUCAAAAACACAGGUCUCUGCUAAACCGUAAGGUGAUGUAUAGGGGCUGACGCCUGCCCGGUGCUGGAAGGUUAAGAGGAGUGGUUAGCUUCUGCGAAGCUACGAAUCGAAGCCCCAGUAAACGGCGGCCGUAACUAUAACGGUCCUAAGGUAGCGAAAUUCCUUGUCGGGUAAGUUCCGACCCGCACGAAAGGCGUAACGAUUUGGGCACUGUCUCAACGAGAGACUCGGUGAAAUCAUAGUACCUGUGAAGAUGCAGGUUACCCGCGACAGGACGGAAAGACCCCGUGGAGCUUUACUGUAGCCUGAUAUUGAAAUUCGGCACAGCUUGUACAGGAUAGGUAGGAGCCUUUGAAACGUGAGCGCUAGCUUACGUGGAGGCGCUGGUGGGAUACUACCCUAGCUGUGUUGGCUUUCUAACCCGCACCACUUAUCGUGGUGGGAGACAGUGUCAGGCGGGCAGUUUGACUGGGGCGGUCGCCUCCUAAAAGGUAACGGAGGCGCUCAAAGGUUCCCUCAGAAUGGUUGGAAAUCAUUCAUAGAGUGUAAAGGCAUAAGGGAGCUUGACUGCGAGACCUACAAGUCGAGCAGGGUCGAAAGACGGACUUAGUGAUCCGGUGGUUCCGCAUGGAAGGGCCAUCGCUCAACGGAUAAAAGCUACCCCGGGGAUAACAGGCUUAUCUCCCCCAAGAGUUCACAUCGACGGGGAGGUUUGGCACCUCGAUGUCGGCUCAUCGCAUCCUGGGGCUGUAGUCGGUCCCAAGGGUUGGGCUGUUCGCCCAUUAAAGCGGUACGCGAGCUGGGUUCAGAACGUCGUGAGACAGUUCGGUCCCUAUCCGUCGUGGGCGUAGGAAAUUUGAGAGGAGCUGUCCUUAGUACGAGAGGACCGGGAUGGACAUACCUCUGGUGUACCAGUUGUCGUGCCAACGGCAUAGCUGGGUAGCUAUGUGUGGACGGGAUAAGUGCUGAAAGCAUCUAAGCAUGAAGCCCCCCUCAAGAUGAGAUUUCCCAACUUCGGUUAUAAGAUCCCUC